rnacentral:rRNA from 1 species
UGUCAUUGCACAAGGUUUGGUAGUAACAGAGAGUUUGAUUCUGGCUCAGAUUGAACGCUGCGGAUGCUUUACACAUGCAAGUCGAACGGCAGCACGGACUUCGGUCUGGUAUGAGUGGCGAACGGUGAGUAAUGUAUCGGAACGUGCCUAGUAGCGGGGGAUACGCGAAAGCGUAGCUAAUAUCGUUACUACGCCCUUCGGGGGAAAGCGGGGACCUUCGGGCCUCGCACUAUUAGAGCGGCCGAUAUCGGAUUAGCUAGUUGGUGGGGUAACGGCUCAAGGCGACGAUCCGGGGCUGGUUUGAGAGGACGACCAGCCACACUGGGACUGAGACACGGCCUGGUGACUCCUACGAGGCAGCAGGGGGAAUUUGGACAAUGGGGGAAACCUGAUCCAGCCAUCCCGCGUGUGCGAUGAAGGCCUUCGGGUUGUAAAGCACUUUUGGCAGUGAAAGAAACGGCACGGAUAAUACCCCGUGCAACUGACGGUACCUGCAGAAUAAGCACCGGCUAACUACGUGCCAGCAGCCGCGGGUAAUACGUAGGGUGCAAGCGUUAAUCGGAAUUACUGGGCGUAAAGCGUGCGCAGGCGGUUCGGAAAGAAAGAUGUGAAAUCCCAGAGCUUAACUUUGGAACUGCAUUUUUAACUACCGAGCUAGAGUGUGUCAGAGGGAGGUGGAAUUCCGCGUAAAGAGUGAAUGCGUAGAUAUGCGGAGGAACACCGAUGGCGAAGGCAGCCUCCUGGGAUAACACUGACGCUCAUGCACGAAAGCGUGGGGAGCAAACAGGAUUAGAUACCCUGGUAGUCCACGCCCUAAACGAUGUCAACUAGCUGUUGGGGCCUUCGGGCCUUGGUAGCGCAGCUAACGCGUGAAGUUGACCGCCUGGGAGUACGGUCGCAAGAUUAAAACUCAAAGGAAUUGACGGGGACUCCGGCCAAGCGGUGGAUGAUGUGGAUUAAUUCGAUGUAACGCGAAAAACCUUACCUACCCUUGACAUGUCUGAAUGCCGAGAGAUUUGGCGUGCUCGCAAGAGAACCGGAACACAGGUGCUGCAUGGCUGUCGUCAGCUCGUGUCGUGAGAUGUUGGGUUAAGUCCCGCAACGAGCGCAACCCUUGUCAUUAGUUGCUACGAAAGGGCACUCUAAUGAGACUGCCGGUGACAAACCGGAGGAAGGUGGAUGACGUCAAGUCCUCAAGGGUCUUAUGGGUAGGGCUUCACACGUCAUACAAUGGUCGGGCCAGAGGGUCGCCAACCCGCGAGGGGGAGCCAAUCCCAGAAACCCGAUCGUAGUCCGGAUCGCAGUCUGCAACUCGACUGCGUGAAGUCGGAAUCGCUAGUAAUCGCGGAUCAGCAUGUCGCGGUGAAUACGUUCCCGGGUCUUGUACACACCGCCCGUCACACCAUGGGAGUGGGUUUUGCCAGAAGUAGUUAGCCUAACCGCAAGGGGGCGAUUACCACGGUAGGAUCUAUGACUGGGGUGAAGUCGUAACAAGGGG